UACGAAGGGGGCUAGCGUUGCUCGGAAUCACUGGGCGUAAAGGGUGCGUAGGCGGGUCUUUAAGUUAGGGGUGAAAUCCUGGAGCUCAACUCCAGAACUGCCUUUGAUACUGAAGAUCUUGAGUUCGGGGGAGGUGAGUGGAACUGCGAGUGUAGAGGUGAAAUUCGUAGAUAUUCGCAAGAACACCAGUGGCGAAGGCGGCUCACUGGUCCGGUUCUGACGCUGAGGCGCGAAAGCGUGGGGAGCAAACAGG
rnacentral:rRNA from 1 species